UUCGAUCCUGGCUCCAGAUUGAACGCUGGCAGGAUGGCACACAUACAAGUCGAACGGCAGCACGGACUUCGGUCUGGUGGCGAGUGGCGAACGGGUGAGUAGUAGUAUCCGGAACGUGCCUAGUAGCGGGGGAUAACUACGCGAAAGCGUAGCUAAUACCACCUUACGCCCUUCAGGGAAAGCGGGGACGAGGCCUCGCACUAUUAGAGCGGCCGAUAUCGGGAUUAGCUAGUUGGUGGGUAACGGCUCACCAGGCGACGAUCCGUAGCUGGUUUGAGAGGACGACCAGCCACGCAGGACUGAGACACGGCCCAGACUCCUGGGGAGGCAGCAGUGGGAAUUUUGGACAAUGGAAAACCCUGAUCCAGCCAUCCCGCGGCUGAUAUUGCGUGAAGGCCUUCGGGUUGCCAAGCACUUUGGCAGGAAAGAAACGGCACGGGAUAAUACCGUGCAACUGACGGUACCUUGCAGAGUCAUGCCGGCUAACUGCGAUGCCAGCAGCGCCGCGUGUACGUAGGGUGCAACGGCGUUAAUCGGAAUUACUGGGCGUAAAGCGUGCGUGAGCGGUUCGGAAAGAAAGAUGUGAAAUCAGAAGCAACUUUGGAACUGCAUUUUUAACUACCGAGCUGAGUGUGUCAAGAGGGAGGUGGAAUUCCGCGUGUGGCAGUGAAAUGCGUGAAUUAUGCGGAGGAACACCGAUGGCGAAGGCAGCCUCCUGGGAUAUACGCUGACGCUCAUGCACGAAAGCGUGGGAGACAAGCAGGAUUAGAUACCCUGGUAGUCCCGCCUAAACGAUGUCAACUAGCUGUUAGAGCCUUCGGGCCUUAGUAGCUACCGGCUAACGCGUGAAGUUGACCUUGCAAGGUACGGUCGCAAGGUCAAAACUCAAGGAAUUGACGGGGACCCGCAUAGCAGUGGAUGAUGUCGUUGGUCGAUGCAACGCGAAAAACCUUACCUACCCUUGACAUGUCCUGGAAUCCCGAAGAGAUUUACAGGAGUAUUUCGCAGAACCGGAACACAGGUGCCUGGCUAUAUCGUCAGCUCGUGUCGUGGAUGUUGGGUUAAGUCCGCAGCAGGCGCAGCCGCUGUCAUUAGUUGCUACGAAAGGAGCACUCAAUGAGACUGCCGGUGACAAACCGGAGGAAAGGUGGGGAUGACGUCAAGUCCUCAUGGCCUUAUGGGUAGGGCUUCACACGUCAUACAAUGGUCGGGACAGAGGGAGUUCGCCAACCGCGAGGCCAAUCCAUUGAUCGUAGUCGGAUCGCAGUCCUGCAACUCGGCUGCGUGAAGUCGGAAUCGCUAGUAAUCGCGGAUCAGCAUGUCGCGGUGAAUACGUUCCCGGGUCUUAUACACACACCGCCCGUCACACUGGGAGUGGGUUUGCCAGAGUGGUCGUUUAACCGUAAGAGGGCGAUUACCACGGUAGGAUUCAUGACUGGGGUGAAGUCGUAACAAGGUAA
rnacentral:rRNA from 1 species